AAUAAUUAUAAUUUUACACCGUUUAUGUUCAACGUUUAACUGUUCGUCAUAUUUGAAUUAUUUUUAUGAUUAAUAUUUUUAUUGUAUUAGAUGAUAAAACAUGAAUAGUACUUUGUGUGGGAGUUUUUAAAAAAAAUAUAAAAUUUUCAAAUAAAAUGAAUGGUCAAACGUUAGACACGAAUAUCUACGGCUAUACAUUCU
rfam:Oryza nivara chromosome 11, whole genome shotgun sequence.